UAUUGAACCCUGAGGGGGAGAGUUUGUGUUAAGUCGAGAGUGGGGGUCUAUGUUAAGUCAUACUGAGUCAUUGUUAUUUACUUUAAUUACUCUUUGGUUGUAAUUUGACCUUUAAUAGGACUCUUAAUACAUUAUAAGCAAGGACCUAGGCCACGAUAGACUUCUUCUGAAUCCUAUUGUGGCUCUAUGGUUCUCUCUUUUCUCCACUGUGUUAUCUCUCUUCUUCCUUCUCUUUUUCCCUUUCCUCUUGGAGGUUCUGGUU